GCGCAUGCGUCAGUCGUUGUCAGAUUCUGACAAAUGGAUAUUCUCGUUCACUUUCGUGACAUUUAUAUUCGUGUACUAUCGUGUACUAGAAGUCAGUUCCCGUUUUAUCAUUAUUGGAAUCGAUUGGAAUGGCUCUUAGCUGAAGCUUCUCUCUUCUCUGAAGCUUAUUCUGAAGACUGAACAACAAGGGAAGAGGUAUAAAGCUUUGUCAAGCUUGUUAAGGAGCAAUGGCUAAUAUCCAGCUAUCCCAACAGUGCUCCUCUUGGCUAUACUAACGAACGAGACUGGACAGUUUGAGGACUGGAGUAUGACCUGCUCAUUCGAGCGUUGCUGGAUAGCUCAGAGACAUCAAGAGAAUCUACGUUUUCUCAAGCAAAAUUUAACUGAGCUACGAGUUGGGGCCUAGAAUCAGAGAAGUCCAGCAGCCUGCUAAAUCUUUUUGAAACGUAAUUUGAAGGCAUUCAAUCAUCCUGAAGUUGUCCUGGGUCACUGUAAUUGUGCUGCAGCACAACUGGCAACUCCCCAGGCCUUUGUGAAGCAGCUCCCUAUGUGCACCUUUUGUGUACUCCCUAUGUGCAUCUUUUGUGUACUCACUCUGUGCAUUUUUCUGUGUACAAAUUUCGAUUGUUGAUUUAUUAAAUAUUUUUGCCAAC